UUACGGGAGGCAGCAGUAAGGAAUAUUGCGCAAUGGGCGAAAGCCUGACGCAGCGACGCCGCGUGGGGGAUGAAGGUCUUCGGAUUGUAAACCCCUUUCGGGAGGGAAGAUGGAACGAGCAAUCGUUUGGACGGUACCUCCAGAAGCAGCCACGGCUAACUUCGUGCCAGCAGCCGCGGUAAUACGAAGGUGGCAAGCGUUGUUCGGAUUCACUGGGCGUACAGGGAGCGUAGGCGGUUGGGUAAGCCCUCCGUGAAAUCUCCGGGCCUAACCCGGAAAGUGCAGAGGGGACUGCUCGGCUUGAGGACGGGAGAGGAGCGCGGAAUUCCCGGUGUAGCGGUGAAAUGCGUAGAGAUCGGGAGGAAGGCCGGUGGCGAAGGCGGCGCUCUGGAACGUUUCUGACGCUGAGGCUCGAAAGCGUGGGGAGCAAACAGGAUUAGAUACCCUGGUAGU
rnacentral:rRNA from 1 species